rnacentral:rRNA from 1 species
UACGUAGGGGGCAAGCGUUGUUCGGAAUUACUGGGCGUAAAGGGCGCGUAGGCGGCAUGGCAAGUCAGGAGUGAAAGGCCUGGGCUCAACCGAGGAACUGCUUUUGAUACUGCUAAGCUAGAGUGCGGAAGGGGCAACUGGAAUUCCCAGUGUAGCGGUGAAAUGCGUAGAUAUUGGGAAGAACACCUGAGGCGAAGGCGGGUUGCUGGGCCGACACUGACGCUGAGGCGCGAAAGCCAGGGGAGCAAACGGG